rnacentral:rRNA from 1 species
UACGAAGGGGGCUAGCGUUGCUCGGAAUUACUGGGCGUAAAGCGCACGUAGGCGGGUCCUUAAGUCGGUGGUGAAAUCCUGAAGCUCAACUUCAGAACUGCCUUCGAUACUGGGGACCUUGAGUUCGGGAGAGGUGAGUGGAACUGCGAGUGUAGAGGUGAAAUUCGUAGAUAUUCGCAAGAACACCAGUGGCGAAGGCGGCUCACUGGCCCGAUACUGACGCUGAGGUGCGAAAGCGUGGGGAGCAAACAGG